GUAUUCACCAAAACUCCCUCCCAUUUUCUGAUGUGUGCACCACUUAUAAAAUUUCCUACGUUUUAAAACAAUGGUCAUUCAGCGAGGAGGGGGUGGAGUGCAUGCUGGGAAGUAUUAUGUAUUGUGCUCAGGAGAAGGAUAAUGUAACUACAAACGUGUUAUUAAAAUAACACUGCUGAACUGUUAACAUAAUGUAUAAACAUUUCCUGUGUUCUGCUGCAUAAUGUACAGAUGCCUAUAUGUGACUGAUAUGCUUUGCAAAAAUGUAUUUGAGAAAAUACAUCAGCUGUAGGAUGGCAACUGGGCACACCUGGCAGAACAUGCAACUUGCAUUUGACUGGCAAAAAAGUCUAUUUUUACCCCAAUUGGUUUUAAAGUAAUUUGUACAAACCAUGCAAAUGAGCGCAGUACAGUUAU